AUACAUGCAGUCGAACGAGUUCUCGUUGAUGAUCGGUGCUUGCACCGAGAUUCAACAUGGAACGAGUGGCGGACGGGUGAGUAACACGUGGGUAACCUGCCCUUAAGUGGGGGAUAACAUUUGGAAACAGAUGCUAAUACCGCAUAGAUCCAAGAACCGCAUGGUUCUUGGCUGAAAGAUGGCGUAAGCUAUCGCUUUUGGAUGGACCCGCGGCGUAUUAGCUAGUUGGUGAGGUAAUGGCUCACCAAGGCGAUGAUACGUAGCCGAACUGAGAGGUUGAUCGGCCACAUUGGGACUGAGACACGGCCCAAACUCCUACGGGAGGCAGCAGUAGGGAAUCUUCCACAAUGGACGCAAGUCUGAUGGAGCAACGCCGCGUGAGUGAAGAAGGCUUUCGGGUCGUAAAACUCUGUUGUUGGAGAAGAAUGGUCGGCAGAGUAACUGUUGUCGGCGUGACGGUAUCCAACCAGAAAGCCACGGCUAACUACGUGCCAGCAGCCGCGGUAAUACGUAGGUGGCAAGCGUUAUCCGGAUUUAUUGGGCGUAAAGCGAGCGCAGGCGGUUUUUUAAGUCUGAG
rnacentral:rRNA from 1 species